rnacentral:rRNA from 1 species
CAGGCCUAUUGGGGGCGCAGCAGCGCGAACUUUGCAAUAGCGAAGCCUGACAGGGUACUUGAGUGAUGCCCGCUAGGUAUUCUUUUGGCACCUCUAAAAUGUGCAGAUAAGGGGUGGGCAAGUCUGUGUCAGCGCCGCGUAAUACCAGCACCCCGAGUGUCGGGACGAUUAUUGGGCCUAAAGCAUCCGUAGCCUGUUCUGCAAGUCCUCCGUUAAAUCCACCCGCUUAACGGAUGGGCUGCGGGGGAUACUGCAGAGCUAGGAGGCGGGAGAGGCAAACGGUACUCAGUGGGUAGGGGUAAAAUCCUUUGAUCUACUGAAGACCACCAGUGGCGGAGGCGGUUUGCCAGAACGCGCUCGACGGUGAGGGAUGAAAGCUGGGGGAGCAAACCGGAUUAGAUACCCGGGUAGUCCCAGCUGUAAGCGAUGCAGACUCGGUGAUGGGUUGGCCUCGAGCCAACCCAGUGCCGCAGGGAAGCCGUUAAGUCUGCCGCCUGGGGAGUACGGUCGCAAGACUGAAACUUAAAGGAAUUGGCGGGGGAGCACCACAAGGGGUGAAGCCUGCGGUUCAAUUGGAGUCAACGCCGGGAAUCUUACCGGGGGCGACAGCAGAGUGAAGGUCAAGCUGAAGACUUUACCAGACAAGCUGAGAGGAGGUGCAUGGCCGUCGCCAGCUCGUGCCGUGAGGUGUCCUGUUAAGUCAGGUAACGAGCAAGAUCCCUGCCUCUAGUUGCUACCACUGCUCUCAGGAGCAGAGGGGCUAAUUAGAGGGACCGCCGCCGCUGAGGCGGAGGAAGGAGGGGGCUACGGCAGGUCAGUAUGCCCCGAAACCCUCGGGCCACACGCGGGCUGCAAUGGUAAGGACAGCGGGCUCCGAUCCCGAAAGGGGGAGGCAAUCCCUCAAACCUUACCACAGUUAUGAUUGAGGGCUGAAACUCGCCCUCAUGAAUAUGGAAUCCCUAGUAACCGCGCGUCAACAUCGUGCGGUGAAUACGUCCCUGCUCCUUGUACACACCGCCCGU